rnacentral:rRNA from 1 species
CCUACGGGAGGCAGCAGUGGGGAAUAUUGGGCAAUGGGCGAAAGCCUGACCCAGCAAUGCCGCGUGAAUGAAGAAGGUCUUAGGAUUGUAAAAUUCUGUCCUAUGGGAAGAAAAAAAUGACGGUACCAUAGGAGGAAGCCCCGGCUAACUACGUGCCAGCAGCCGCGGUAAAACGUAGGGGGCGAGCGUUGUCCGGAAUUACUGGGCGUAAAGAGAGCGUAGGCGGCACUACAAGUCUCAUGUGAAAAACUCGGGCUUAACUUGGGGGUUGCAUGGGAUACUGGAGAGCUUGAGUACAGGAGGGGCAAGCGGAAUUCCUGGUGUAGCGGUGGAAUGCGUAGAUAUUAGGAAGAACACCAGUGGCGAAGGCGGGUUGCUGGACUGAAACUGACGCUGAGGCUCGAAAGCGUGGGGAGCAAACAGGAUUAGAUACCCUUGUAGUC